rnacentral:rRNA from 1 species
UAGUGGCAGACGGGUGAGUAAUGCAUAGGAAUCUACCUAGUAGUAUGGGAUAGCCACUGGAAAUGGUGGGUAAUACCGUAUAAUCCCCGCGGGGGAAAGAUUUAUCGCUAUUAGAUGAGCCUAUGUCGGAUUAGCUAGUUGGUGGGGUAAUGGCCUACCAAGGCAGUGAUCUGUAGCUGGUCUGAGAGGAUGACCAGCCACACUGGAACUGAGACACGGUCCAGACUCCUACGGGAGGCAGCAGUGGGGAAUAUUGGACAAUGGGCGCAAGCCUGAUCCAGCUAUGCCGCGUGAGUGAGGAAGGCCUUAGGGUUGUAAAACUCUUUCAGUAGGGAAGAUAAUGACGGUACCUA